GUGCUCCCAUCAGCAGCACACAUAUACUAAAACUGGGACAAUAUGAAGAUUAGCAUGGUCCCUGAACAAGGAUGACAUACAAAUUGGAGCAGUAUUCCAUAUUUUA